AUGACAUUUUUGGGUGAACUGACCCUUCAUCUGUAACCUCCUGUGCAUGUAUGCUGAUGUCAGGAAGGCAAAGAUAUUGUGAAUUACUAACAUGAAAAUCUCUCACUUGCAGGAGUAACGAGAUACCGUAAAAAGGAGGGGGAACCCUUCAGCUAUAUUUUUUCUGCUGUUAAAGCGCAUGUCUGGGCUGUUAGACGAAUGCUGUCAUACAUGGUCAACGGAUAUGGCUGUUUCUCCAGAGAUGGAAGUCCACAAUUUAACCCCAGUUUGUCAGCAGAGUGCCAGGAUCUGUUGAGGCGGUUAUACAGUUUCCACCCUGAAACAGGACCUGUUUUAGAGGAGAUUUUAGAGCACGAGUGGUUCAGCAUGACGUAGAGGCCAUCAGCAGCAGGAAACGGUUUCAUUCUUCCAUGUUUGACGUUUGUCAUUUGUUGUUUUCCGCUUCUGCUUCCCAAAUUCUGCACUUCCUCCUGCGAGGGAUGCAGUCAGAGCUGCAUGUAAAUGAGGGCCGGUUGAAGCGUCUCCAUUCGUCCAUAAGCUCUAGACUGACAGCUCCUCCUCCAGCCAAUCUGGUGAGGAAGGAAGCUGAUGUCACUCUAAUGGCGGCCGAUGCGCACAGGCGACGCCGGAGAUUGAGUGUUAGCGCUAAUCCUCAGCUGGGGUAGAAUGUGUCUGCGGCAGGACAGCAUUAAUAGUUUGAAAUAAGGAAAGCAGGUUGAUUGACGUUUAGACAGGACGUAGUGUUUUAUUUGAACUGGGUUAGCACUGACUGUAGAGUAAAUAGUCAUAUUAAGGGAAAUAGUCACAGAUUAAUCAAUCAAACUGCUGGAUUUAUUAGCAUACUGGUGUGCUUUAUUUCUCUAGCUGUAGGAGUAAUCGUAAAAGAUAAAGUCUGCAUAUCAUUACUGUAGUGCGUCAAUACUUUAUAAAGACAGAAAGCCUAGUUUAGACAGUGGUCGUAGCUCUAACGGGACUUUAGGCAGGUUUAAGUGAGAUAAGCGCAUAUAACAGGGGCGUCGUGGGCCGGUUUUGAAGGCGUUUUCUCUUUAACAGAGAUAGGAUGGGGUGGUGUAGAUGGCGCUGGCGGGGCAGGAUUAUAUGGGCGAAUACGCUAGAUAUAAGAGCCUCCUGCCACAGACAUAUUUUAGCCCAGCGGUGGAUUUCUCAGAUCUGAUGAGGAUUAUUUCUAGUGCUGCUGCUCACACCUUUCUGCUUUCUUCUUCUUCUCACUUGUUCUCCAAGCGAGCGCUGGAUUUCUGCAAAUGAGCUUUAACUUAAACCAGUAGCUGAAGGAGUUUAAUGGAGACAUUUUGAACAGCAGCGUUUGCUAAAUAACAGCGGUUUAGUCAAGACUGGGAUAUUUAGAUAUUGGUUAUGGACACAAGUGUAGUUUAGAGUAUGACUUUAAUAGAUGUUUAUUGAUAUUAAUAAGCUUAUUAUUGAUGAUGUUUAGCUUAUUUUUGCUUGUGUUCUUUAGAUAAUGUGCGUGCUUGUUUGGAGAAAAUCUUUGGUCCUCAUUGAUGAAACAUCAGUAAAUAUUGGAGUAAGUUAGUGAUAGUUAAAGGUUUGAUAGUUAAACGUGUUCGUUAAUGAAGUAUAAUCAGUCAGGGUUAGGGUUUAGAGUUAGACAUGCACAACAUAGAGGAGUAAUCAUCUUUACUAAUGAGGACAAACCUCACCUCUUUCUUUCUUUCUUUCUUUCUUUCUUUCUUUCUUUCUUAAACACUUGAUUUUUUGUUUUUAGACUUAGGUUAGGGUUAGGAUAUGGUUAGGGUGUUUGUUAGGGUAAUCGUUGGGUUAGGUUAUGGUUAGGGUUUGGUUAGGGUUGGGUUAUGGUUGGGUUAUGGGUUAAGUAAGGUUUUUUUUUUGCUUUGUGUUUGGUUUAUUUAGUUUCUCCUCUUUCUUCUUCUCUGUCACUGUUGUGUGAUCACUGCAGAUUGUUAUUUAAGAGCGAUUGUUAAUUAUUAUACACUUCUCUGUCCUCGCCUGUGCGCAUUGGCCGUCAUUAGAGUGACGUCAGCUUUUCUCCUCGCCUGAUUGGCUGGAGAAGGAAGCUGUCAAUCUAGAGCUAAUAGGCCAAUAGGGAGGCUUCAGCCGGCCCUCAUUUGCAUGCAGCUCUGACAGCGACACUCGCAGGAGGAAGUGCACAAUGUGGGAAGCAGAAGCAGAAAACAGCAUCAUGUCAGAAAACUAUGGAAGUAUGAAUUCCUGAUGAUCUGAUUUGGUCACUGACCACAUGUGUGCUGCUCUUCCUAUCAUUUCUGUGAAAUUGAGACUGUACGCAGAGCGGCCUGCGAACCCCAUGGAGUGUGUUGAAGCUGUUUUCUGAUCAAACUGUAAACUAUUGUCUUCAAUAAAUUGUAUCUC